rnacentral:rRNA from 1 species
UUAGUCAGGACCUAAGCCGAGGCCGACAGGCGUAGGCGAUGGACAACAGGUUGAUAUUCCUGUACCACCUCUUUAUCGUUUGAGCAAUGGAGGGACGCAGAAGGAUAGAAGAAGCGUGCGAUUGGUUGUGCACGUCCAAGCAGUUAGGCUGAUAAGUAGGCAAAUCCGCUUAUCAUAAAGGCUGAGCUGUGAUGGGGAAGCUCCUUAUGGAGCGAAGUCUUUGAUUCCCCGCUGCCAAGAAAAGCUUCUAGCGAGAUAAAAGGUGCCUGUACCGCAAACCGACACAGGUAGGCGAGGAGAGAAUCCUAAGGUGUGCGAGAGAACUCUGGUUAAGGAACUCGGCAAAAUGACCCCGUAACUUCGGGAGAAGGGGUGCUUUCUUAACGGAAAGCCGCAGUGAAUAGGCCCAAGCGACUGUUUAGCAAAAACACAGCUCUCUGCGAAGCCGUAAGGCGAAGUAUAGGGGGUGACACCUGCCCGGUGCUGGAAGGUUAAGGAGAGGGGUUAGCGUAAGCGAAGCUCUGAACUGAACCCCCAGCAAACGGCGGC